GUUUUUAGAAUCGAGCAUACAUAUAUAAUCCACCGAGGAAGAAACUCUGUUGCAAUGGCGAUGGAUGCUGGAUCAUCGCCCUCCCAAGAAAAUCAAUCAUUUUCUUCCCGUCUCCAUGAAUCUUCUCCAGGAAAACCUCAAUCAUUGGAAGACUUAGCUAAGCCUUGGGCUGAGUACGCAGCUCAACAGGCCCUGCUAUACCAGCGGGCUAU
rnacentral:misc_RNA from 1 species